GUUUCCGUGGUGUAGCGGUUAUCACGUUCGCCUCACACGCGAAAGGUCCCCGGUUCAAUCCCGGGCGGAAACA